CAGCGCCACGAGUGGCAACCGCGAUUAUUGGGCCUAAAGCGUCCGUAGCCGGUUUGGUAAAUCUUUUGUGAAAUUGUACAGCUCAACUGUACAGCGUGCAAGAGACACUGCCAAACUCGAGACCGGGAGGAGUCAGAAGUAUUCCAGGGGGAGCGGUAAAAUGCUAUAAUCCCUGGAGGACUACCUGUGGCGAAGGCGUCUGACCAGAACGGAUCUGACGGUGAGGGACGAAAGCCAGGGGAGCGAACCGGAUUAGAUACCCGGGUAGUCC
rnacentral:rRNA from 1 species